UUCAGCCCUUUGUCGCUAAG
rnacentral:snRNA from 1 species